AGCUUAAGAAAACUAUUCAUACGGUGACUUGAAGGAAAAUCGUAAGACUGCGUCUUCUCCUGCUCGCCCGCUGUUCAGAACCUCGAUGAUGGCUCACGAAGAGAGCAGCAACAAGGCAACGGCAACGUGCCAUGCUGGCACGAUGACGGCGUGACGAAUACGACGGCACGAUAUUGACUGCACAUACAAAAUGACGGCACAACGACAGCUCCGGAACGACGCCUUACGUAUCGAAGAAAUUCCAGGAGUAGAUCCUGGGUUAUAGUGAGCGCGACUAGGGUUGUCUGACUGUCACGCGAGUGGGGUGGGUUAUGCCUGGCUGUCCGGGCCGGCAAUCGCUCCACUCUGAGAGCGUCCUUCCACUACCAGCAACGUGUUGUUUCGUGCCGAUCAGGCGUGCUGAGUACGAAAUCACGGCCUGGAUUCCCGGCAGCCAUGUGGCGGCGGUUGGAUAAAGGAGGAGGAGGAGGAGCGUUGCUUGCUUCGGGCGGACCUGUCGGACAAAGGCGAGAGGCACUUCCUCUGGGCGUGGCAUUUACGCUGUUCGUCAGCGCAAUUUCGAUUUUCGUGGUAUGGUGCUGUGAAAUUGACUAAAAGAAUAGUGCUAAUGCAUACACUUGGAUCUACGUGUUAUAAAUUAGGACGCACCACCGAAAGCACCACCUCAAAAAUGUAUUUCAGUAUUUUUGGUUAA